rnacentral:rRNA from 1 species
UACGGAGGGGGCCAGCGUUGCUCGGAAUUAUUGGGCGUAAAGGGCGCGUAGGCGGUUGGAUAAGUCAGCUGUGAAAACCACGGGCUUAACUCGUGGCCUGCAGUUGAGACUGUCUGGCUUGAGUGUGGGAGAGGAGAGUGGAAUUCCUGGUGUAGCGGUGAAAUGCGCAGAUAUCAGGAGGAACACCGGUGGCGAAGGCGAGUCUCUGGGCAGUAACUGACGCUGAGGAGCGAAAGCGUGGGGAGCGAACAGG